rnacentral:rRNA from 1 species
UGGGGAAUUUUGGACAAUGGGCGCAAGCCUGAUCCAGCAAUGCCGCGUGCAGGAUGAAGGCCUUCGGGUUGUAAACUGCUUUUGUACGGAGCGAAAAGGCUCUCUCUAAUACAGGGGGCUCAUGACGGUACCGUAAGAAUAAGCACCGGCUAACUACGUGCCAGCAGCCGCGGUAAUACGUAGGGUGCAAGCGUUAAUCGGAAUUACUGGGCGUAAAGCGUGCGCAGGCGGUUAUGUAAGACAGAUGUGAAAUCCCCGGGCUCAACCUGGGAACUGCAUUUGUGACUGCAUAGCUAGAGUACGGCAGAGGGGGAUGGAAUUCCGCGUGUAGCAGUGAAAUGCGUAGAUAUGCGGAGGAACACCGAUGGCGAAGGCAAUCCCCUGGGCCUGUACUGACGCUCAUGCACGAAAGCGUGGGGAGCAAACA